rnacentral:rRNA from 1 species
UAGGGAAUCUUCGGCAAUGGACGAAAGUCUGACCGAGCAACGCCGCGUGAGUGAAGAAGGUUUUCGGAUCGUAAAACUCUGUUGUUAGAGAAGAACAAGGACGUUAGUAACUGAACGUCCCCUGACGGUAUCUAACCAGAAAGCCACGGCUAACUACGUGCCAGCAGCCGCGGUAAUACGUAGGUGGCAAGCGUUGUCCGGAUUUAUUGGGCGUAAAGCGAGCGCAGGCGGUUUCUUAAGUCUGAUGUGAAAGCCCCCGGCUCAACCGGGGAGGGUCAUUGGAAACUGGGAGACUUGAGUGAAGAAGAGGAGAGUGGAAUUCCAUGUGUAGCGGUGAAAUGCGUAGAUAUAUGGAGGAACACCGGUGGCGAAGGCGGCUAUCUGGUCUGUAACUGACGCUGAGGCUCGAAAGCGUGGGGAGCAAACAGG